GACGAACGCUGGCGGCGUGCUUAACACAUGCAAGUCGAACGAUGAAGCCGGAGCUUGCUCUGGUGAAUUAGUGGUGAACGGGUGAGUAACACGUGAGUAACCUGCCCUUGACUCUGGGAUAACUGCGGGAAACUGUAGCUAAUACCGGAUACGACCCCUGGAGGCAUCUCCUGGGGGUGGAAAGAACUUCGGUCAAGGAUGGACUGGCGGCCUAUCAGCUAGUUGGUGAGGUAAAGGCUCACCAAGGCGACGACGGGUAGCCGGCCUGAGGGGGUGACCGGCCACACUGGGACUGAGACACGGCCCAGACUCCUACGGGAGGCAGCAGUGGGGAAUAUUGCACAAUGGGCGCAAGCCUGAUGCAGCAACGCCGCGUGAGGGAUGACGGCCUUCGGGUUGUAAACCUCUUUUAGCAGGGAAGAAGCGAAAGUGACGGUACCUGCAGAAAAAGCACCGGCUAACUACGUGCCAGCCGCCGCUGUAA
rnacentral:rRNA from 1 species